rnacentral:lncRNA from 1 species
GCCACGUCAUCCUCCUCUCUCACCGCCUCCACCACCGCCACCUCCACCACCACCGCCACCGCCGCCGCCAUUUCCACCACCACCGCCACCGCCGCCGCCGCCGCCACCGCCACCACCAUCCCCAUCCCCUCCAUCCCAGCCACGUCAUCCCCCUCUACCGCCGCCUCCACCACCGCCACCUCCUCCACCACCACCGCCACCGCCGCCGCCAUUUCCACCACCACCACCACCACCUCCGCCGCCGCCACCGCCACCACCAUCCCCAUCCCCUCCAUCGCAGCCACGUCAUCCC